rnacentral:rRNA from 1 species
UCCUACGGGAGGCAGCAGUGGGGAAUAUUGCACAAUGGGCGAAAGCCUGAUGCAGCAACGCCGCGUGAACGAAGAAGGCUCUUGGGUCGUAAAGUUCUGUUCUGAGGGAAGAAGAAAGUGACGGUACCUCAGGAGAAAGCCCCGGCUAACUACGUGCCAGCAGCCGCGGCAAUACGUAUGGUGCAAGCGUUAUCCGGAUUUACUGGGUGUAAAGGGAGCGCAGGCGGUGCGGCAAGUCUGAUGUGAAAGCCCGGGGCUCAACCCCGGGACUGCAUUGGAAACUACCGAACUAGAGAGUCGGAGAG